ensembl:lncRNA
CCAGAAUCCUGUGAGUGCCUAGUAUGUUGUUGGAAGUGUUUAAUAUAUUCACUGGUUCCUCAUACUAAUCUCUGUUCUUGUCAUUCGUGUCACACCCACCAACCCUGCUACCAACCCAAUCACAGGGAGCAUCUGGCUUAGAUGGAAAGCCAGGAUCCCGGGGUACAGAUGGUCCUGUGGGACCCCAUGGCCCCGCCGGCCCCAAAGGAGAAAGAGGAGAAAAAGGAGCUGUGGGAGAGCCAGGACCCAGAGGGCCCUACGGCCUGCCUGGUCCGGAUGGAUUACCCAUGCCCGGCUGCUGGCAGAAGUGAUGAAUUAACUUUCCAAGCAUGAAGUUGUAUAUAUUAUGGUCCACUUUCUAUAUUUAUAGUUGAAAACCGAACUGCAGAUUUUACAAGUCUGAGCUAUGUUUACAUAGAGCUGCUUCUUCCUGUGUGCUAUAGUACACACGCAUCAUUUCUCCACUUGCAUCCGAAAUUGGGCAAUUUAGGGAACCAGUGAGAAGCCUGCAAAGAAUAUAGACCAGUGUCCCUUACAUGAGGAUAUGUAUUUAUACGGACUUCAGUGAUAGACAGUGAAUGUUCUUGCUAUUUUCUUACUUUGAGCAUUGCAUGGGCUAAAAGCUCCAUGAAAUCGCUUACAUGAAAUUGUGACCAAAUAUGGACUCAAGGCUACGAAUGUGUACUAUUCCGACUGAUUUGUCUGUUGUCACCUCCACUCACCUUCCCUCCUAGCAUUGGCACCACUGAAUCUGACUAAAGAAAGCAUGCGUGUGCGCCCAACCUGCUUGCUGUGCAAACCCAGAUGGUUGCAUGCUGCCUGACCACCCCCUGCAGGCUCAUCUGAGCUUAUUCCUUUUGUCGUCUCAAGGGGGUUACACCAUGGCUUAUUGCCAAAAAGAGAUAAGUUGGCGGAGAGCACACACACGGUUGGUCUGAUAUUUUGAGGGCGUUGCAGAUCUACAGCUUCUGGUGUUAUGGCCUUGGGUGAAAUGCCAAGGGGCUGAGCCGAUGGCUGCUGCCAGUUUUCCUUGGGCUGCCCUUGCCAGUGAAGCCGCGAGAAGAAGAAUGGCUAGGCAUGCCGCACCGUCUCUCAUGUGACCACGUAGGAAAGCGGUUUACAGAGGCGAACACCCAGAAUAGCAGACUUUCUUGUUUAAUAAACUGGAUCCCAGCGAGCGUUCAUCUGGGUGCUUUUGGAAGUGACAGAGGCUGCGGCUCUUUUGGGACCAGAAGUCUUUGGGAUGGCCAUGCCGGCCUGAGGACAGAGGGUAUGCACGUGCCAUCAAAGCUCGAUUACUGAAGACGCGCGUCCCCAGGAAGCUCUGCCUCACGCCCUCCUGAAAGUCCAGGGGCUCCCGGACGCCUCUGCCACAGUCCCGUGGCAUCUUUUCCUCCGUCCGGUCCACCCAUCGCCAGCCUUUCCUACACGUUCUCGAGAGAAACGAAGAUAGGGUUCUCCGUUCUUUUCGGAUACUUUUUUCUUUUACUCGGAGGAAUAUUUAGAAAAUUUGUUUCAGUUUUUGUCAUAUCUUCUUUGAACAGUUUCCUAAAGGUCUUCAAAAUCAUACUAAUUCAGUGCCAACAGUCAAAUGACUUUUUACUAACAUCUUUGUUUUAGAUAACUGGAGAGAACAAAAAAGCUCCAAUUUCAGUUUAAUCAUUGUAAAGCAUGAAAGUUCAGCUUUAGUACUUUUUUACUUUUUUACAUGAUGAAUGUAAUAUACAUAGAGAUUAUCGGUUAAUAUAAAGCCAAGAUUUUAUCACCUUUGAUAACUAACUCAUUCUAUUUCUUAUUAUUGCUUUUUUAAGUUUUUCUACAUUUGGAUUUCUUUUUACAUUUCUAAGUGUUUCUCUUAUCCACAGACCAAAUCUGAGAUCUCAGAAAUCUGUGAAACAUAGUUGCCAUAAGAGUAGGAUUUUUUCAUCUACUUGCUCAAAAAUUACCUAACCAUGUUAGACUAGAAUUUAUUUGCACAGAAAGAGUUGGUGGCAGGGUAUGAAGUGGCUAAGUGGAAAGUUUACGUGGGGAGAAACAUGUUCAUGAGAAAGGCCACCCCACUGGCCCAUUCGAGAAUGUAACGGCCCUAAUGAUUCUGUACCAUGUUGUGGGAAAUGUUCUCAUUUUCACCCCCAGUGAGGAAAUCAGCUCACCAUUAGCUUAUGGUAACAACAGAUAAGAUAGAAUUCCAAGAUGAAGAUUUGUGACCCAGUGCUCAAUUAUACAAAAAAAAAAUUAUGACAUUUUCAAGGUUAGAGAGAUGUUUAAACUAUUAGAUCUGCCUACUUGGUAGUAAUUCUAGUAACAUUCCACAGCCCUAAGACAAUUUAGCAUUUUUAAAAUAAUGAGAGGGCAUUUUCUAACAAUUUUUUGUAUGACAUGCUUAGGAUAAUGUAUUAAUGUCUGAAACAAUUUGUCUUAAAUGGUUUGGAAAGAUUAAACUGGAGUAGAACUAUGUUCUCUUCAGAAAAACCAAUGAUAAAGUCUUGAGAAAAAGUCUGGUGACUAUAUUUCUUCUAUCUUCCUUUCUAUUCCUUAGUAGAGAAGAAUCAUUAAAUUAAAAUUUGUAAAGCCUCCAAUGAGAAUACCUCUACAUCAAAAGAGAAGCAUUUCACAUAUAAAAAUGUUUUUGUACAUAGUCCUUUGAAGAAUACAAUCCUGUGGGUAUAUUGGAAUUUUGCCCUAUAACUAGCUUGACAACAUCAGUUUAUUCAAUGAUUAAAGGAAGCCCUAAAUUUCCAUUACAUUUAUUUCCUUGGGAAAAACAAAGGAAUGAUGAAACUCCUCUUUGUUCAACAGAAGUGCUAGGUCUUAGCCAGCAUAGAUAAUCUUAAACUUUAGGUUAUCAAAAUAUUUUCAAACAUCCAUUUUGUCACUGAUAUGGAGAAUCCUCAAAUAAGGUCCAAAGUAAUAAUGAAUUAUAGUUGAUAAAUGUGUUGGCAGAUUAACAUUUUUCUUAAAGAUUUCUUUUAAUUUAUAAGGUAGAGAACUGAGAAACUAUAGUGACAAUAAAUGAAGGUCAAAUUUUACUUCUGAUAAAACAUUUUUAAAGGAUGCAAACUGUUGUAUGUUUUAGCAUUAAAAUUUUUUUCCAUUCCUAUUGAUUGGUGCUAAUAUAUUAUUUCUUUCAUUUUUUUCUUUUAUCGAUAAUGCAACUUACUAUGGAUAAUUUCAUUUCUCUAAUUGCAUUCCUAAGCUUUUUGUGUGUGAUUUUAUUUUUAAAGUUCGUGAAUUUGCUGUAGUUAUGGUUCAAUGACCAGCCUUUCUUACUGUAAAACAGUGUGCCUAUGGAUGAUGUGUUUUUACUUGGAUGGUGGAUCCCCUUGGUUCCUGUUCAUUUCAUGCAUCAUAUGCCUUUAUAAACUUUUUUGGGGGUACUGGGGAUCGAACUCAGGACCUUGCACUUUGUGAAGCAGGCAGCGGAACCGCUGAGCUAAAUCCCUGGCCCGCCUUUAUAAACUUUUAUUCAUCUCGUCUUUUAACUUACAUAAUUUGAUUAAAAUUAAUACAAACUGUGUGCAAGAAGUCUGCACACUCCACAUAGAGUCCCUGGUGUGUCACACACCUAAACUACUCUUCCGGUUUUCACUAUCAAAAUCAGUCCUGGGGGGGAGGGUUUCUUUUCUUGUGAUUUGGCAGAGAACAAUGGAAUAUCUGUCAUUUCUAUGAGUAGAAAAGUCUUGUUCUUGAACUUACAGUGUGUGCACAUGAUGUUCUACUGGGACAGCAAGAACUUACUCUUAAAGUGAUUUAUAUGCGCGUCCUUUGUCUACAGUAUGCGAAUAUAUCUGCUCCUUUGGAGAUUAGGAAAAGUGCUUAAUUUCUAAGUUUUAAAAUUUUACUAUUGAAGCAUAAAAAGUUAUUUUUUAUCCUUUUGCUCCCGCUACAUACAGUAUCAUCUUACCUAGAAUUCAUAAGCAACACAGAUGCUGAUAUUGACACAUUAACAAGAAAUAAAAAUAUUUUAAUAUAUAACACUACCAAAAAAAUUAAUUUUCUAAUCUUUGCAAACACUUGAUAUCUCUAGGAAGUCAAGGUCAAAGAAAUCUUAUCUUUCCAAAAAGAGUAAGAACCUAUUGUAUGCUGGCUGUUAAAAAACAAAAUCUCACAGCCCUAAUAGAAUUUCCAUGUUUGAUCAGUUAUAGUUCUGCCAAAUUGUUUUAGGACAUAAAAAUCUUCAGUCUUUACUUUCAAUUUUUCUUCACAUAUUGGCUAGAUUUGUUACAUGCUGGAAGAGAUAUUCCUCCAACUUAAAUUUUUACUGAUUUUAGUUUUUUGCUAAUCCAAUCUUAGUACAGUAUUUUUUCAUUAAAAAUACAUUAAAUGCAUAAAUUGCCUAUGCUGCUUAUUAACAGAAUGCUCUUUUGGAAAUAGGAAGACCUUUUCAAUCUUACUUGUUAUGUUUGAUUUAUCGACAAUAAAGGAAGUACCAACAGUUCCCAAAAUACAUUUGAUAGUCUCUCACAUAUCUCAGAAAUAUUAAUGAAUUGGAUUCACAAAAGAAUGUCUUACAUAUUUGUUGACAUUUAUGUGAAUAUACUUUAUAUUGUAAACGUUUCAUUCAACUUAACAUUUUUGAAAGAUGUAUCUGAUUUUUCUUUAGGAAAUAUAUUUUUGUGUUUUUCACAUUUUAAAGUUCAUCUUUAGGUGCAGCUAUUUUUGUUGCCAAACUCACAAAGUGGGAAACUCAAAAAAAAAAAAAAAAUGGCAAGCAUUACAGAGUAGUUUUCUUUAAAAUGUUUUGUGGGCCAGUCUCAUGUAAUUGAUCAUUCUGAGAAUGUGUUGUGUCUUAUCAAUGUAAAUAUGGCACACACCCAAUUAUCUCAGUAGUGUACAUAUUUGAAAGACUGAAUUCUCCCUGUUUGAUUUCUUAUUUCAGUUUCAUUGUACUUUCUUUGGCUGACAUUACUGAAUCAAAAGACGCAUGAAGUUUUUUGAUUUGCAGUUUGGAAAUAAUUGCAUUGUGUUCGGUUUCUAAUUUGUUUUUAUUUGCUUCUUAAACUUGUUUUCAGGGUUAGUAGGUUGUGAGAAGUUGAUCUUCAGAAUUAUUUUUACACUAUUUAUGAUUUAUUUUCAUAAUGUAAAAAGUGUGUAAUUAUUACAGUAUUAAUCCAAACAAUGAUCAUGAAUUGUAUUGUUAUAAAGCUUUACUGAUGUUCGUGGAAA